rnacentral:rRNA from 1 species
UACGUAGGGGGCAAGCGUUGUCCCGGAUUUAUUGGGCGAAAGAGCGUGUAGGCGGCCAGACAGGUCCGCUGUGAAAACUCGAGGCUCAACCUCGAGAUGUCGGUGGAAACCGUCUGGCUAGAGUCCGGAAGAGGAGAGUGGAAUUCCCGGUGUAGCGGUGAAAUGCGCAGAUAUCGGGAAGAACACCCGUGGCGAAGGCGGCUCUCUGGGCCUUACCUGGACGCUGAGGAGCGAAAAGCGGUGGGGGAGCGAACAGG